UCUUUUGUAUAAUAGUGUGGAGAGUGGAUAAAGAUGCAUAUGACAUUUGCUGCUUCUGAAAUCUGAUGAAAGAAAAAGGGAAGAAAAAAGAUAAAAUUAAAAAACCAGUUUCGACCAAUCCUCUUCACUUUCAGAUAGAAUCAAGAAAGCAAAUUUCUUCUUUAAAAAAAAAAAGAUUAAAAAAAAAUGAAUAAACAUUUACCUGUCCACCCAACACCAUCUGCAUUGCAUAUAUAUAUAUCAAACUUCCAAUUUAAGACUCAGAUAUACCAUUUUUCACCAUUGGAUUCCAUUCACACCACCUCCCAUCAUUAAAAAAAGAAAAAACAAACAGAGAAAGAAAAAUAGCAAAUCCAAAUGAGAAUUGUGUUUGGUGAUUACCCAUUUAACCUUGAAAAAUGGAGAUUCAAAGCCGCACUAUUUAGGGGAUGAGAAGAAGGUGACUUCAUAUUAAAAAUGUUCAGACUUAUUUUCUCUGCCUGCCUCCUUUCUGCUCCGCUUUCUCUCACUUAACAACUGUCUUAACUGUGCGGUGUCCGGUCCUCUCAUGUCCUUUAGUUUCUUAAUGUGGCGAGAACAGUGAGUUCACUGUAUUAUCACCUCAAUUUUUGUUGUAAUUAAUUGGUUUUAUUUUUCCACCAUUAAAAGAAAAAAAAAAAACAUAAUUGCAGAGAGCAGAGGCAGCUGAAUUCUGCAGAUAGCAAACAGUAAUUUUUGGGCCGCUUUCUAAUUCAUUGUCGACCUUGCCCAAUUUAUUGCUUUCUCUUCUGUAGUUAACACAAUUCACAGCAGACUUUUCUUGCUUAGCCACAAGUACAACCCUUUGACCUUGCACCACAAUAACAUAUUUAACUCUACA
rnacentral:lncRNA from 1 species